AUUGAACGCUGGCGGCAUGCUUUACACAUGCAAGUCGAACGGCAGCACGGGUGCUUGCACCUGGUGGCGAGUGGCGAACGGGUGAGUAAUGCAUCGGAACGUGCCCAUGAGUGGGGGAUAGCCCGGCGAAAGCCGGAUUAAUACCGCAUACGCCCUUAGGGGGAAAGGCGGGGGAGUCUUCGGACCUCGCGCUAUUGGAGCGGCCGAUGUCGGAUUAGCUAGUAGGUGAGGUAAAGGCUCACCUAGGCGACGAUCCGUAGCUGGUCUGAGAGGAUGAUCAGCCACACUGGGACUGAGACACGGCCCAGACUCCUACGGGAGGCAGCAGUGGGGAAUUUUGGACAAUGGGCGCAAGCCUGAUCCAGCCAUGCCGCGUGAGUGAAG
rnacentral:rRNA from 1 species